AGUGAACGCUGGCGGUAGGCCUAACACAUGCAAGUCGAACGGCAGCACAGUAAGAGCUUGCUCUUACGGGUGGCGAGUGGCGGACGAGUGAGGAAUACAUCGGAAUCUACUUUUUCGUGGGGGAUAACGUAGGGAAACUUACGCUAAUACCGCAUACGACCUACGGGUGAAAGCAGGGGAUCUUCGGACCUUGCGCGAUUGAAUGAGCCGAUGUCGGAUUAGCUAGUUGGCGGGGUAAAGGCCCACCAAGGCGACGAUCCGUAGCUGGUCUGAGAGGAUGAUCAGCCCCACUUGAACUGAGACACGGUCCAGACUCCUACGGGAGGCAGCAGUGGGGAAUAUUGGACAAUGGGCGCAAGCCUGAUCCAGCCAUACCGCGUGGGUGAAGAAGGCCUUCGGGUUGUAAAGCCCUUUUGUUGGGAAAGAAAAGCAGCAGGUUAAUACCCCGCUGUUCUGACGGUACCCAAAGAAUAAGCACCGGCUAACUUCGUG
rnacentral:rRNA from 1 species